AGAGCCUGAAUGUUCACCAAAAAAAUGAAAAGAGAGAGCCUCAAGCCCGUACAUAUAACCUAUGGCCAAUCACCGAGGGACAACAUUAAUGGUCCUCUCUUUCUUUCUCCUCUCUCUACUGCCUCUGCCCUCUGCCGUCUGCCCCUUUAAACUUUGUGCGUACUUCACUCGCUCCCCCUCUUUCUUUCUUGCAAUUUCCUCUCAACUUCAAAGGCAAACCGGGAAAACAAAAGGAAACAAAAAAUCCGGCAGGCUACAUUUUCCAGAGAUUUUACCAUGGAAGCAAAAGAGCAAAGCUGGUGUGACUUUGAUGAUUUAGCAAGCUAUAGAGUAACGCUCGUGUGAAUUUGGUGAUGAAAAUGGCUAUUUAUUAGGUCUAGAUCGUCCUCAGAGAAAAGCAAGGUGAAUGUGAAGAUAAAGUUGAGAGAACUAAGGUUCCAUAUCCAAACCAAAAUUUUAGCCUCUGCUUUUGAUUUGUUUAUUUGUUUGUUUCCGUAAAAUUAAACUGCAACAAUUGAAAUUAGAAUAAGAUCGAAACUAAAUGAAAAGCAAUUGGCUUCUAAUGGCUACUGAUACUAUCUUACCUUCAGCCUGUUACGGAAUCAAAAUUCACGAACAUUAAAAUCUCGUUGCUUCAGCCGGUUUCUACUAUGUUUCCUGGCUGUUUCUACUACUUUUCCUUCAGUAUCUGUUGGUCGACCUGACAUUGUAAUGUUACUUCAUGCUUAAGAUUGGUAUAGACGCUGCACCAUCGAGUUCAUCUUCUUGAAAUGGAAUCAGAUCUUGAUAUGCGGUUAGAUAACAUGGAUUGGAUGAGAUGUAGUUUGUUGAGUUAGAUUUUUACUAUAGGAAAUUAAGUGAGUCAAGUAUUGAUUGGAGAGUUAAAUGUAAAUGACACAUUAAAUAUCAAAUUGACUGAUUGGAGAGUUAAAUGUAAAUGACACAUUAAACAUCAAAUUGACUGUAGUAGUUUUCUAACUUUAUUUAAUUUAAUUUAAUUUUUUUAAAUACUAUUAGUUAAUUUUUUUAUUUUAUUUUUUCAAAUUGUUGGACAAUUUUAACUUAUGAUUUCAUAGGUAUGACUCAUUAACUGAAUAUCGAAUAAGAAAUCAAUCUUGCAUGCCAAUAGCUUAUCAAUUUUGCUGAAAGAGAAUGAAUGCCAAUGUAAAGGAAAUUUGUUAUAUUAUAUUUUUCAUUACAAAUUCGCAAUGGGGGGUAACAAUAGAGAAAUAAUAUUAUACAUUGGCGUUAAAACACCUAGUGCAAUUUUACCAAAGAUAAUAUAAUAUUUAUUUAUAUAAAUAUUAUAUUAUAUAAAUAUUAUAUUAUAUUUGCCAAAAUUGCAUUAGGUGUUUUAAUGCCAAUGUACGGAUAUUCUUUCUUUAUUGUUAUCCUAUUACGGACAUGUAAUGGAGGCCAUAAUAUAAUGAAUUUCCUUUACAUUGGUAUUUGGUCUUUCUCUCAUCAAAAUCAAUAAGCUUUUAGGAUGCAAGAUUAAUUUCUUAUUUGGUAUUCAGGUAAUGAGCCAUGCUUAUAGAAUCAUAAGUUGAAACUGCCCAAAAAUCUGAAUAAACAAAAUAAAAAAAAUUAAUUUAUAGCAUUUAAAAAACUAAAAUAAAAUAAAUAAAGUUAAAAAACCAACUACAAUCAAUUUGAUGUUUAAUGUGCUAUUCACAUUUAGCCCUCUAAUCAAUACGUGGCUCACUUAGUUUUCGUGCGGUAAAAAUUUGACUCAUCAAACUUCAUUUCAUCAAACUCCAUAUUAUCUAACUGCAUAUCAAGAUCUGAUUCCAAUUCAGCUAAAGAAUUCAUUAGAGCUGUUCAAGAGAAGCCAAUAAUUUGUGCGGUUAUUGUGGCUUUUCUCCGGGUGAUUUCAGGAAAUAUGUAAGUUGGGAUAAGCUUGAUCCCUCCAGAUUAUUUUGCUUAAAUUGUUGUGGUAAAAUAAUUAUUUACUGGUUCACCAGGGAAAUAUGUUGGUCUAGCUUUUAUGUACAGUGAACAACAUACUUCAAUUAUUUAUGACAUCUUUUCAAAAAGCACAGGCUUGUCACCAAAUUAAUGUCUCUUAAAUUACUAUCAAGAAUUUGCCCAGUCUUUCUGCCACUGGGAAGGGAUAUUUAUGAUCCCAUAGAGAAGGGAAAUGGCGAAACCGAUGAUCAUGCAAUGGUCCUUAUGGGAUAUGGGUGCGACUACAAGGUGUCCAAUGGCUGAUUGUGCUGGGUUGUGAAGAACUCUAGUGGUGAGACUUUUGGAGAAAAUGGGUAUGCAAGAAUUUUCAUAAAUGGGAAAGAUUGUCUCUCUGAUAUACCUGACGACUACAAAGAAAGAAAGAUUGUCUCUCUGAUAUACCUGACGACUACAAAGAAAUUUGUAUGCAAGCCUAUGAUUUCGGUAUAAGGUAAUAAAUUUAAUUUAUAUUUUUAGCUAGAGGUUAACCUAUGAUUUCGGUAUAAGGUAAUAAAUUUAAUUUAUAUUUUUAGCUAUAGGUUAAUAAUUUUUUUUUGUGUUAACAGUUAUCCAUCUUAUUUGUAUUAUAAAAUUUAUUUUUGGCGCGAUAUUAAUAUAUAUUGUAUUAACAGUUAUUAAGAGUAGAUAGUACGGGACAAUAACAAAAGAGCAGCAGCAGGGAUUAGGCAUAUUUGACUCAUAGUGGGGAUUUAGCCGUUUUGUAGUGUUUCAGGGUGAGCAUGCUCACAGCUUGAAGGAUGGGGUAUGCUGAUUUUCAAGGGGUAAUUGUUUGUGCAGAGCUCUUCAAUGAUGUGUAUCUCUGCAGGUCCGCAAGCCUGCAACUGGAAAAUCGGAGCCUUAGUGUCUGAUACAUGUCACUUUCAUUGUCUUUUCAAUUCUCGUAUUUUCAAUUUGGCGCCUAGAAGUAUUAUUGGAUUGCUAAAGAUGGUAGACUCCUAGUAACCAACCUGAGCUGGUUAAUAUUUUGUCUUUCGAUGUUAUGCUUUUAUAAAAUUCCUGAUGUGUAUUUCUGCAGGUCCGCAAGCUUGCAACUGGAAAAUCAGAGCUUUAGUGUCUGAUUCCUGUCACUUGCAUUGUCUUUUCAAUCUUGUGUUUUCAAUUUGGUGCCUAGAAAUAUUAUUGGAUUGCUAAAAAAUGGUAACCAACCAGAGUUGGUUAUAACAAUCUAAAAGCAUUGCCAUUGACAAUUUGCAUAA